GACGAACGCUGGCGGCGUGCUUAACACAUGCAAGUCGAACGGAAAGGCCCUGCUUUUGUGGGGUUCUCGAUUGGCGAACGGGUGAGUAACACGUGAGUAUCCUGCCCUUGACUUUGGGAUAACUUCAGGAAACUGGGGCUAAUACCGGAUAGGAUCUCCUGCAGCAUGGUGGGGGUUGGAAAGUUUCGGCGGUUGGGGAUGGACUGGCGGCUUAUCAGCUUGUUGGUGGGGUAGUGGCUUACCAAGGCUUUGACGGGUAGCCGGCCUGGGAGGGUGAACGGCGACCUGGGGACUACGGGAGGCAGCAGUCUGCAACGUGAGGCAAUGGUGGGAAGUAUUACGCAGCGAGCGCGCGCCUGAUACGACGGCGCCGGGUGCGGGAAGACGUCUUUUGGGUUAAAAACCGCUGUCGACUGAGACGAAGCGGGAGUGACGGUAACGGAUAAAGAAGCACCGGCUAACUACGUG
rnacentral:rRNA from 1 species